UUAUACCGCAUAACUUUCUACUGGAUGUACCGAUUUUAAUAAUUCUUUUUUUGUUAGAAAGGAGAUAUCCCAAGUUUAGUACCAUGAUAAGGAAACUAGGAUCUGAUGAUGGGAUCCUAGAGAAAUCGAGGGAAACUCUUGAAAAUCCGCAAUAACUUUUUACUAGAUGUACCGAUUUUGAUAAUUCUUUUUUUGUUGGAAAGAAGAUAUUCCUAGUUUAGUACUAUGAUAAGGAAACCAGGAUCUGAUAAUGGGAUUCCAGAGAAAUCGAGGGAACUUCUUGAAAAUCCGCAAUAACUUUUUAUUAGGUGUACCAAUUUUAAUGAUUUUUAAUUUAAUCGAAAGCCGAUAUCUGAUAACUACUUUUUGAGUAAUCUUUGAUAAUGCGUUGUUACUUGACUAUUUUUUCGUCGAUCUACGUUGUAUUACUCGUCGAUGUAAUUGAAGUCGGUUUUUUUUUCGUUUGCGAGCAAACACAAUUAUUUUUUUUCAAAA
rnacentral:misc_RNA from 1 species